GUAAAAUCACGGAAGCAGAAUCUAUAUUCAAUGAGAUGAAGAUGGCUGAUGUUUUCCUGAUGUUUGUAAUAUAUACCAUGAUGAUACCUGCUUAUAUAUAAUGCUGCAGAACUUUGGAAAAAGGCAUGUGCUCUUCUUCAAGAAAAGGAGUACGAUAUCUAACCAGACACUACUGCAUGUUCAGCGCUGAUGAGAGCUUUCAAUAAAGGAGGCGAUCCAUCGAAGGUUCUCAUUCUGGCAGAGUUUAUGAGAGAUUGUAUCAUCAUGUAGCCUAUUACGAGAUUGGAGAAUAACGACUGACUUGAUUAAAUUGAUGGAGCCUUCAUUCUCUGCUGUUUCAAUUGGACUUCUGAAUCCGCUCCUGCAUCUUCUGGUGAAAAGUGGAAAAAUUGAGUCUAUAAUGAAGGUAUUCGAAUAUUUUCACAUGUCUAUAUGAUAUUAUGAUAGUUGUGUUUGCCAAGAACACGGCAUUGAAACCAGUGAACAAUUUAAUUAUUCCUUUGUUUGAGCUCUUGUUGAACAUCUUAUAUAGUAUACAUCCUAAAUCUCCGUGGAUAUCAGUAGUUGGAGCUAAUUUUAUUCAUAAUGUUUUAUAAACUAACCUUGCUCUACAUUAUACAAGAUUAUAUAGGAUCAGGUGCUGAUAUUAAUUACAGCACUUGCUCGAUCUUGUUGAAGAAUCGUUUGGCUGUUGGGAAUUGGAGGAAAUAUAUCGAGGUAACUUAUAAUCAAAUUUCUGUAACUUUAUACGAUAUAGAAUUUCAUAACUUUAUAGACAAUAAAUGUUGUGGAUGGUGUUCAUUUCAUCAAUUUCUUAUUAUUAGAUAUGGUAGAUAUCAACCCUGGGCUUUCCUCAGGACCUUCUUACACUCAUCUGAAGGAGGGACCUGGGGCACCACACGAUGCCUGUUUUAGAAGUUUUGAAAAUCAAUGCGUCUGUAAGUUAUACGAGAAAUGCGUUGGAAGUACUGGCGCCACAGCAUAGUGAUUAAAGCAUGCUAUUUGACUGCAAUAGAGUUGGUUACUCUUUUCGAACUUUUUAUGAAAUUCCUUUUUAAGAAUUUUCCCAUACGAGGAAAGUGGUGCUUUAGUAAUCAAAGUAGUAGCUAAUUAUAUCUUUUGAAAUAUGUUGUUCAUCAUGAACUUUGGUGACUGCUAGCUAAAUUGCUUGUAUAUAUAAAAAUCUUGCUUGUAUAUGCUGUCCGCAUUACGGACACAAAGUGGAAGGACUAGCCACUUUGCCCCUUGCUUGUGUUCGUGAAGUUAUUUUGGCUAUAAAACUUAGCGACAUGCUAUUCUUGGUUUAAAAUGCAAUUCGAGGUGAUUGGGAAAACUCAGAGAAUUCUAAGUGCAGGUGUUGGGAUGGAUUGAGGAAGCCGGAAUUCAGCCUUCAAAUGGAAUUGUGACGUAUUCUCCUUUGCACAGAAAAGUGAAGCCACAUACGCUUCUAUCAUAGAAGAAAGAGUUGGUAUGCAAAUACUCGUCUCCUGUGCAAGAGAAUCGUGUUUUGGACCAGCACAUGCUUCUAUCUAAUACAAGCGAAAAUAUAUUUCAACCUAGCCAUCUCAUCAUCUACAAGGCUACCUUCAUUGCUCAUCCAUUGGGUUUCUAACUCUUAUUCUGGUCGUUGAUGUUUUGCAGGAUCACUGAGAAUAUUAAUCUGGGAACGAAGUCUCGAAAAGCAAGGUGUGAGCCUUCCCUCCCUACCUUCCUGUAUUCAAAUGGGAAAAAAAUAUUCACCCAUGGCCGGGGAGAGUUUUCUAUGAUAUUGCCAGUCUUAUAUAUCCAAACUGUGGAAGAUGAUCACUUCUGACAUGAUGAGGAAUGGAAGGAAAUUUGAAGUAGGAAAUGUGUUACUGCACUUGUGCUCCUGUUAAAAGUUCAUUGAGCUGGGAAAUGGCAGAGCCCGUCUUCACCAUGUCAAUUUUUCUGAGAGGUGUUCUGCUUUCAAAAAGUUUUUAUACAGGUUAUGGCUGUGAUUAAGGAUGUUGCCAAAGUCAUAUUCAAUUGAAGUAGGGGAUGGAAAUGGCCUAAUGUGAAGAACAAGAGAUGGUGGGAGUGCAAAAUUAAGUCAUUACUUCCAUCAUUUUGACUAUGUGAAUAUGGAGUUAAACACUGGAGUCAAAGAGAUCUACUAUAUUAUUAAGAAAAUAAUAGUAAUAAUAAUAUGGAAAAUAAAUUAGUCGAAUCAACCUUGUAAUUUGGUU